UGAGUGAAUUAAUGAUAAGAAGGCGUGUUACAGCUGGUUUUGCACCCUUUCUCUUCUGUUCAUAAUUCCUCUAACUUCAAACCAUGUCCCUUGUAAGUAAGUGAGUGCACAUGUCGUUUUCUCCGCCAAACUCGGACAACAUUAUUUUUCGAAUUCAAAUUUCAAGCGCUUUACCCUUUUUUUUUUCCGCACUGUUUUAAUAAAAAUCCUCCUCAACUUCCCCAACUCCAACUCCAUUACUUCAGAUCUGAAUUCCCAAAUAUAUUUGCACAAUCCAGAGCAGAGUAAUGGGGAUAUUGUACGGGAUGGUAGCAAGGGGGCAGGUGGUGUUGGCCGAGUUCAGCGCAACUCAGACUAAUGCCAUUGCCAGCGUUGUAGCCAGGCUGAUACUGGAGAAGAUGAAAGAAGUGAAGAAUAAUAGUAUUUCAUCGUUUUCACAUCAUCCUUAUAUUUUUCAUGUCAAGGGAACCGAUGGUCUCACCGUUCUUUGCAUGGCCGAUGAUGCCUCCGGAAGGAUAAUCCCUUUCGCUUUCCUUGAAGAUAUCCAUAAAAAAUUUGUAAAGACAUUUGGUCGUGCUGUUCAUUCGGCUUCAGCUUAUGCUAUGAAUGAUGAAUUCUCCAGGGUUCUAUGUCAACAAAUAGAUCAUUUCUCAAGAAACCCAAAUGUUGAUAGAUUAAACCGUUUAAAAGGGGAGAUGAACCAGGUACAGAGUGUAUUGAUUGACAAUAUUGAGAAAGCCUUGGAGAGAGGCGACCGCUUGGCGCUUCUUGUUGAAAAGGCUAUAACAAUGCAGCAGCCUAUGCAGGGGAAUAAUAGUACAGUUGCGCUCAAAAGGAAAGCUCGUAGUUACAGAAAUGCUAUGUGGUGGAGAGAUUGUAAGUUCACGUAAGUAUGCUAAAAAUAUUCUAUUCUGAAACGAAACGUGAAAGAUUACUGGAGGGCGACAUUGAUGCUGUUGUUUUUGCUGACCAUCGUUUAUGUUUCGCUAGCAUUUGUUUGUAAUGGCCUCUUUUUAUCGUCCUGCUUCAAUCAUAUGACAAUGGCUUCCGUUGUUCCUCACAUGUUUUAUGAGUAGCUGUUAGCUGUAAUCCCUAAAUGCCUGUAAUGAUACAAUUCGUUUAGAAA